CCCUUAGAUGUUCUGGGCCGCACGCGCGCUACAAUGAUGAAUUCAACGAGUUUAUAACCUUGGUUGAAAAGCCUGGGUAAUCUUUUGAACUUUCGUCGUGAUGGGGCUAGACCCUUGCAAUUAUUGGUCUCCAACGAGGAAUUCCUAGUAAACGCAAGUCAUCAGCUUGCAUUGAUUACAUCCCUGCCCUUUGUACACACCGCCCGUCGCACCUACCGAUUGAAUGGUCCGGUGAAAUCUUCGGAUUGAGACUUUGUUUUCUUCACGGAAAACGCUGUUUUAAAAAGUUGAUUAAACCUUACCAUUUAGAGGAAGGUGAANUCGUAACA
rnacentral:rRNA from 1 species